UAACACCUGUUGGGGUCUCCUGAUGAAGCCUGGGACUGGUGGGAUGAAUCUACCUGUAGCUGCUCUGUCACUUCCAUAAGCAGACUUGCCCUGUGUUACUAAAUGCUACCCAAUCAGGGUUGACUGUUUUUUGUUUGUUUUUUUUUCUUGUGCAAAUGAUUACAACAUGCGUGCAGAGCCACAACAGCAUCUACAAGCGUUUUCAAGACAGUGUGGCAGUUUGAUCAGCACAUUUUUUGUAUGAU